GAGGAAAGAAACCAUGCUUUUUAAUGCAUGCCAGUGAAAUGAAAGAUUUUUAGGGUUCUGAGGCUGAACCAAAAGACUCAUUCAUGCUGGCAAGAAAUACAGGCAACUGCUGUGUGCUAAGCAAUAAAAGAUUUAGGAAGCAAUGGAAAAGUCACUCAGGGUGAUAAAACACUUGCUCUUUCAUGACUGCCAAGAAAUCAAUUCCCCUUUCAAAAUCUGAAAAGGGGCGGAGGGUAAGGGCUGAGAGUGCAGCUGUUCAUCCCGGUUUUAGCUGGAGGAUGAACAGAAAGCUGAAUUUAAUUCUCAAAAAUAUUGGCGGUGGCAGUGGGGAGUGGAGAUCUAUUCUAAAGGAAUCACUAGUGUGUAAUAAAUACUGCUUUAUGUGAAGUGCCUGGAGAACUGCCUAAUCAACAAGGGAAUGCUAAAGAACAACAACUGCAAAGAUAAAGUUUCAUGCUUGACUGAAGCUACGACCAUCUUUUCUGUGAGUCCUGGAAGUCCUGCUCCCUGCCUUGCAGGCCUUUUCCCACUUGGCCUGGGAGGGCAGGGCCCCUGACCGACUCCAGCUACAAAAACUGAGGCUGCCGAACAGACUCUUGGGCUCGGUAUUGUUUGGGGGGCUUUGUUCAGGUGUGUGUGCUGCUAUUGAUAUUAUUAUUUUUUUGUUGGAAACUUAUUAUGAUUUGUGUUGCAAUUAAUUUGGUUGUGUCCUUUUUGAUGUUUUAUUUAUUGUUUAUGCCUACUUUUGGUUAUGUUUGUAAUGAUGUAUUUUUUUCACGUUGCAAGGCGGCUUGAGCAUGGUUUGAACAAGGGAAAGGUGGUAUACAAAUAAAAUGAUGCAUGUAUAGAAUCACAGAAUUGUAGAGCGGGAAGAAACACCCAGGGUCAUCUAGGCCAACAAUGCAGGAAUCUCAGCUAAAGUAUACCUGAAGGAGCGUCUCCACCCCCACUGUUCAGCUCCAAGGGCCUUCUGGCCGUUCCCUCACUGCGAGAGGUGAGGUUACAGGGAACCAGGCAGAGGGCCUUCUUGGUAGUGGCGCCCGCCCUGUGGAAUGCCCUCCCUAUCAGAUGUCAAAGAAAUAAACAACUAUCUGACUUUUAGAAGACAUCUGAAGGCAGCUCUGUUUAGGGAAGUUUUUAAUUUGUGAUGUUUUAUCGUGUUUUUAAUAUUCUGUUGGGAGCCGCCCAGAGUGGCUGGGGAAACCCAGCCAGAUGGGUGGGAUAUAAAUAAUAAAUCGUCAUCAUCAUUAUCAUUAUCAUUCUGAUUAUAGCAUCCGUGACAGAUGGCUAUCCAACCUCUAUUUAGAAACCUCCAAAGAAGGAGAGCCCACAAGCUCCCAAGGUAGAUUGUUAUGACCAUAUACAGUGGUAUCUCGGGUUAAGAACUUAAUUUGUUCUGGAGGUCCAUUCUUAACCUGAAACUGUUCUUAACCUGAGGUACCACUUUAGCUAAUGGGGCCUCCCACUGCUGCCACACGAUUUCUGUUCUCAUCCUGAAGCAAAGUUCUUAACUCGAAGUACUAUUUCUGGGUUAGCGGAGUCUGUAACCUGAAGUGUCUGUAACCUGAAGCGUCUGUAACCCAAGGUACCACUGUAUAUGAAACCUAAACUAAAACAAUCUAUGUUGUUGCAAAUAAAAGCACCGAUGCAAAGUGCUUGCUCUGAUGCUUAAAGCCGUAAACAGCUUGGACCCAAAUAUCUGCAACUUCAUGUCUCAUAUCAACCUGCCUAUGCUUUAACGUCAUCAGAUUAGCUCCUCCUAGUGGCCCUUGAGUGAGGGCCUGGGACAGAGCUAUUUCAGUCAGAGGUGGGUGCUUGCAUGCAGAAAUCUCUCCCUGUGGAGAUGUGUCUGGCCUUAAGCAGAAGUAACAAAUUGUCAAAGAACCAGGAGGGAAGUUGAGGGAUGUCACGGGAUGCGGGGAGUUUUGUUUUAAUUUCUAUCUUCUUUGUUUAUAUGAUAAAUGUGUUGAAUACUAAAAUGUAAAAUCUAAUAAUUUUUUAAUUUUUUUUAAAGAGAUGUGUCUGGCCUCAUUUGUUUAAAGCUUCGAGUAGCUGGACAAGAAGAUGCAUCAGCAUUCAGUGUUUUGUUUCUGUGCAUUCUUAAUGGACUGUUAUUUUAUGGAUUUUAUGUUUUCCAAUUAAACUUUUUUAUUGCACUAGCCAUAGGCCAUGGCAUCAUUCAGAAGGACAACAAAAACAACAACAAUAACCAUAAAAAUCAUAGGGCACCACACAUACAAUAAAACCACGGUCACGGCUACUAAAAUUAUUUGUUGCAUUAAAUAGAAUAGAAUAGCAGAAGAUUCUCAGGUAAGAUGUGCCAAAUUAAAUAUCCGAAUCCCCUUUGCAGUGGACCGCUAUUUUAUCUAGUUCCUUCCUACUGAUCUUCUUAGCUGCCAGUGCAUAGAGUGCUACUUUAUGGAUUUUAUGUAUUCUUACCUCCUUGAUUUUGUUGUUAAACAGCCCUCGGAAAAGAGCAGCAUGCAAAUAAAAAAAAUCCGGAGUAGAGAAGAGUAGACACCACAGGAAUAUAUUUAGGUGCAGUGGAAUGAAAUUCAUGUUUUAACAAAGCUGAAAAUGUUGGUGCCUUAGCUAAUUGUGUUAUCAGGGUCGAAAGAAGAAGUGGGGUCUCUGUUUGUAGAGACUGCAAAUGACACAUCAGGGACGUCACCACAGGAGUUAAAAAAGCAUGUGUGAUGUGAAAGAGAGCAGGACUGGACGCUGUGUUGUUUAGCCAGUCCUGGUUGCAGAGUUCUAGUCUGAUCACAGUGAGCACUUAGCAUUCAUAUCCAUCCUUCAGACACGAAGGAGUAAAACAGAAAGAGAGAUCUGUAUAAACUGCUCUUAUCCAUCAUAAACUGCUCUUAUCCAAUCCAACCAUCUAGUGGACAUCCUAGGUAACUGCAGGAAUUCUCCAAAGGAAAGCAGAGCUUCCACACAACCAAAAAAAAAAUGCAGUGCUCAACCAAAUACAGUGGUGACUUGCAAGACGAAAUUAAUUCGUUCCGCGAGUUUUUUCGUCUAGCGAAUUUUUCGUCUUGCGAAGCACGAACUCCCAUAGGAAUGCAUUGAAAUUCAAUUAAUGCGUUCCUAUGGUCAAAAAAAGUCCAAACAAAGCCAAAUUUGGUACAACAAGAGUUUAUUAAGUGCUCUUUAAAGUCACACAUACUGUAAAGAGCAUUUCAAAAAUUGAAGGAACAAUAAAUUAAGCUUCUAAACAUGACAGAAAAACAUUUAAAAAUCAACAAAGUGUACAGUACAUUUUCUAAGACUCUGGGGACAACUCGAAGAAGGUUCCUCUUCCACUCUUUGCUUCUUGCUGAAGAACCCCUCCUCAACUGUUCCCCCAGCCACCCACCACACAGAAAUUCAAUUCCAUAUUUUUUUUAAAAAACAGCAGAGUGGCCCAAUGGUCACAGAAAAUCAUAAAAAUGCAGAAAAAACCACACAAGCUUCCAGAUUCUUGCAAACCCCUCCUCAACUGUUCCCCCAGCCACCCACCACACAGAAAUUCAAAUCCAGAAUUUUUUUUAAAAAAAACAGCAGAGUGGCCCAAUGGUCACAGAAAAUCAUAAAAAUGCAGGAAAAGCAACAACACACAAGCUUCCAGAUUCUUGCAAACCCCUCCCCAACACCAAGUCCUUGAAUUCCAAACACCCCAACCCAAAAUCCAAAACCCCCCAAAAAAAGUUUUAAAAGUUUAAAAGAAGUUUUGGAAAAGCUUCAAAAAUCACCAAAGUCUUCAAAAAAGGCUACCACAUCACGUUCUAUGAGUUGCUCCUCGAAGUCAAGUCGCAACUGUAUUAACGGUGUUAAGAAAAAGGAAACAAACUUGCAAGACGUUUUCGUUUUUCGUCUUGCGAAGCAAGCCCAUAGGGAAAUUCGUCUUGCGAAGCAGCUCAAAAAACGGAAAACCCUUUCGUCUAGCGAGUUUUCCGUCUUGCGAGGCAUUCAUCUUGCGGGGCACCACUGUAUUACCCCUUUAUGUGUAACACUCCUCCAAGUCCCACUUCAUUAUAACUAUUCCAUCACACCAUCCCUACAUAAUGGAUAUUGUCUAGCAGCAGAGAGUAUUGCGGCCUCCUGUGGCAGUGAGUUCCAUAGUUUAACUGUACGCUGUGUGAAGAAGUACUACCCGCUGUCCUGAAUUUCAAAGCAUUCAGCUUCAUUGGAUGGUCCCGGGUUCUAGAAUUAUGACAGAGGGAGAAAAAGACCUCUAUCGUGUCCCAUCUUACAUGCUAUCUCUCUCCCCUCAAAUUAUAAAGCCAGAAAUGUAAUAUUUCUCAUAGGGAAGUUUCUCCAGUGGUGACAAGAAAUUUUCCGCACCGUGUACCACCUGACCUUCCUACGCCUUUGCUUCAGCCUUUGCUAAAUCUUUUCCAGUUCUACAAUAUCCAUUUUGAAGUGAGGUGACCAGAACACAGUAUUCCAAAUGCAGAUGCGCCAUAGGUAAUAUAGAAGUGAAAGCUGGACCAUAAAGAAGGCUGAUCCCCGAAGAAUUGAUGCUUUUGAAUUAUGGUGCUGGAGGAGACUCUUGGGAGUCCCAUGGACUGCAAGAAGAUCAAACCUAUCCAUUCUUAAGGAAAUCAGCCCUGAGUGCUCACUGGAAGGACAGAUCCUGAAGCUGAGGCGCCAAUACUUUGGCCACCUCAUGAGAAGAGAAGACUCCCUAGAAAAGACCCUGAUGCUGGGAAAGAUGGAGGGCACAAGGAGAAGGGGACGACAGAGGACGAGAUGGCUGGACAGUGUUCUCGACAAUACAAACGUGAGUUUGACCAAACUGCGGGAGGCAGUGGAAGACAAGAGGGCCUGGCGUGCUCUGGUCCAUGGGGUCACGAAGAGUCGGACAUGACUAAAUGACUAAACAACAACAACAACAAAUGAUAUUGGCAGUUUUGUUUUCAAUUCCUUUCUGGAAAUUACGGUAUAUGAGAAAAUAUCCACAGGCUUGAAACUCACCCCCCUCCCCAAAAUCUACACUGUCUCUGGUUUGCUUCUCCCAUUUCAAACAGGCAAACAGCAUGCCGAGGCGGAAACAAAGGGCCCAGUGCAAAUAAUAGGUUAUACCUACAGGCGUCAGACAUGAGACAGAAAUGGUAACCAGUGGCUCUUAAUCCAUCAUGCCUAUUAGUCUAGUGUCUCCAGUCGUGUAAUUAGAACAGAAAGUCAGAGGUGAAAUGACGGUAAAUUGCCAAUUACCCGUUGUUCCAGGAAAUGAAGUUUUCGCUUAUCAUUUUACAGGCAAAGUGCAGCUCUUCGAAUUUCUAAACGCUAUUGGAUGAUUAGCCAGGCUUGCCAAACUGAGACAUGAUCAUUUCAACAUUUGGAAACAACAUAAUUAAGUCAGGUAUGAUCCCUUUGCAGUAUCAUGAACUGCCUUUGAGCCUUUUAUGGUCUUAUUUAAUGUGAUACAUGUAGGCAUCCCUGAUUUGGGGAAAUUGUUGAUAGGGAAUUUGAUGGUAGCAGCAAAAAUGGUACAGGGCUAUGAAGCUCCCUGCUGUCUGUGAAUGGUUGAUCCAAUAUCUUGAGCUAGCAGAAAUAGACAAGAUUGCAGAAUGGGUGUACAGUGGUACCUCAGGUUACAUACGCUUAAGGUUACAGACGCUUCAGGUUACAGACUCCGCUAACCCAGAAAUAGUACCUCGGGUUAAGAACUUUGCUUCAGGAUGAGAACAGAAAUCGUGCUCCGGCGGCGCGGCGGCAGCAGCAGGCCCCAUUAGCUAAAGUGGUGCUUCAGGUUAAGAACAGUUUCAGGUUAAGAACGGUCCUCCAGAACGAAUUAAGGACUUAACCCGAGGUACCACUGUACAAGGGGUGGCAGUUUUGACAGAUAAAGGCUCAAAUCUUAUUUUAUAUUGGAAUGGGUUUAUAUUCUGGUUACAGGGGUCUGGAUAGGAAUCUGUUUGUGUGAAUUGUCCAUGCACCCGAAGGACUGUAAUACCUUUCAACCUGCCUCCUUCGCCUGCCGUAUCAGUUCCCUGCAUUGUAAGUAUAGUGGUGAUUGUCUUUAUAUAAGAGACAUUCACGUGUCAGAUUACUUUUAUCACACCACUACUAAGGUUGUGGUGAGAAGCCAGCCAAAGUCAACAUCUAUAGCCCAUGUUUCCUGGAUGCCAUUUAAAGAUAGUAGAUGGGGUCCCUGCCAACUGUGGGACUCUAAAUCCUGUUGUAAAUGUCCCCAUACAUUUGGAGAAGGAAGGAACAGGACCUUUAGGAUCAGAACUGGCACUGUGAGGUCUUGCUAAGCCAAAGGAAAAUGUUUGGGUGGUGGCAACAUUUAAGCAGCUUAUUUGAAUACCUGGGUGUUCAGAUCAUGAGACGAGCUUUGCCCAUGUGGCCUAGCAUCCUGUCUUCACAGUAGCCUACCAGGUGCCUAUAGGAAGCCUGGACACAGGACACAAGCAGUCUCCCACCUUGCAAUUCCCAGCAACGGGUAUAUGGAUAUUUGCUGCUUCCAAUAUGUGGCCACAAUGGCUAGUCGCUUUAUCCUCCAGGAAUUUGUCUACACCCUCCCUUUAAGAGCUACUACAAUCCCAAGAUCCCUCUUUCUCACUCACUGCCAGGUCUCACACACCCUGUAAGCAUAUUUGUGAAGUUAUUGUGGUUUUGACUUUCCCUCUCAACUUCCUUUCCCGCCCCCCAAAACCCUUCAUUUUUAAGGAGGAUUGUUCUUGGGAGAGGAUAAUUUGAAAUUUUGGGAUUGAAGCACAGUCCUAAAGCUGUUUACUCAGAAGUAAUUCCAACUGAGUUCAAUGGCAGCUAGCCACAUAUAACCCAUGAACUUCAUUUCAUUUUUCUUGUCAUUACAGCGGGAGGGCCAUGAGCCAAAGUAAAAAUACAGUAUACAGUGGUACCUCGAGUUAAGAACUUACUUCGUUCCGGAGGUCCGUUCUUAACCUGAAACUGUUCUUAACCUGAAGUACCGCUUUAGCUAAUGGGGCCUCCCACUGCUGCCACGCCACUGCCACACGAUUUCUGUUCUCAUCCUGAAGCAAAGUUCUUAACCCGAGGUACUACUUCUGGGUUAGCGGAGUCUGUAACCUGAAGUGUCUGUAACCCGAGGUACCACUGUAUUUGCUAGAGCUGGGCUUUUUCUCUGUAGCAUUCUCACACAGCAUAUGUUUAAAGCACAUCCCCUCCCCAAAUAAUCCAGUGAGGUGUACUUUGUUAAGGAUUCUUGGGAGGGUGCUUUAAAUGUAUGGUGUGUAUACAGAAGGGGCUGGCCUCAAGAAUUUGAGCUGCAGCAGAGAAAACUGCCACAUUAAGGCAGAUUUGGCUGCACAAUUGGUGGUUUUGCUGGCAGCACUAACUGCUUUGGAUCACAGGUCCAGUCCCUUUCCUUCCUAGCUAUUUAAAGACAAAAUUGGUCCAGAAUCUUUGGAUCCCUGUCAAGGGUUUUAAGUAAGUUAAGCGCAACGGCUGAACCAUGUCCACAGGGGAGCAACGGUAUUGUUUCCUGGAGGCAUUUUAGCCUCAACAAUAGAUUGUAUUUAUACACUGUUUAGAGCUGUGAUUGCUCAAGCUGAGCCAAGUCAGCUCUGGCCUUUCUUUUGCUCUGGGAAGGGGUCCCCCUAGUCUAAUAGCAUAAACAUUUCAACAUCGUGGACUGGAAGUGAUUUAUGCAAAAAGACCUGGGAUUUCUCGUAACACAAGAGGAACUGCACAUUUCUUGGAAGCAAAUUAGGCAGCAUGAAACAUCUCUGUGCGACGGCCUGAUAUUCAUAUUAUGCCUUUGAUGAAUUUAACGUAUGCUCCACUUGGAGUGCUUCCAUAGAAGGUGUUUCGUCUGGAGUUUCUAUACUUCAUAAAUAACAGGUUAGAUCAGGCCAAAGACUCAUCUAGUCCCACCUUUUAUUCUCACAGUGGCCAACCAGACACCUAUGGGAAGCCCGUAAGCAGGACCUGAAAGGAACAGCACUCUCCACACUUGUGACUUGUAUUUGGAGGCCUCUGACAGCACGAGGAGAGCACCACCAGCAUCACAACCUUUUAUCUCACUUUCUAAUUUUCUUCCUCUGCGGCCCUUUCCCCACACAGGAAGGAGACCUUCCUUCCCUCCUUCCCCCAGCCACCUUUCUCAGCGUGCAAGCAGUUGCUGGUGCUCACACUGAUCCAACCAAAAUGUUGUGGGUUAAGGGGAGAGAUGACAAUUGAAGAGGCAAUGAGGCCCAUCUGAAAGUGGACCACCACUGGAUCCCAGUCCACUGUUUGAGAAACACUGCUUCAGUGCUACACAUGGUCAGUGAUACAUCAAUACAGUGGUACCUCUGUAUAAGUCCGCCCUGUCCAGCAUCCAUUUCGGCGGACAUCCACGGCAAACCAGGAAGUACUGGAACGGGUUACUUCUGGGUUUGCUGCUCACGCAUGCGCAGAAGUGCAAACCGCUCCACGUGUGUGCACAGAGCGGUGGUUUGUUGAGCGUCCUUUUCAUCAAACGUCCAGGACUCUGGAAUGGAUCCCUGACCCAAAAACUGUAAAGUGAACCUAUCACAACUCACCACACUUUCAGGAUAAUAUUAGCAAUAGGUGCCAUUUUAUGACCAUGCUGAAAGACAGCUAUUGUCCUAAACCCUUGGCCUACCUGGCAGCAAGUCAGUAUGCCAAGUUCAAAGUCAUGAGGGUCAGCCCACACAAACAAAGUCCCACAUCCAAAGGUGAGGAAACACAAUUCAGGGUCAAUCCAAGUAGCCAAGUCUGAAGUCCACCAGUCAGGAUACAGUUCAGAGGCAAACCCAAAGCACAGGUCCAGGAGCAUCCAAGUCAAGAUCCAUGAACAUGGGCAGUUGAGCAGACACAGCACCUCAGCUCUGCUUCCCUUUUGUACUUUGCAUGCUGACUGCAGCACCUGUGCUUGAUGAGGAAUCACACUUUUUCCCAGAGCUAGUGAGCCUCACCUGGCCAGCUAGGGAGCUGGGCUGUGGGCCCCUGCCUGCCUCAGCCUCCUAGAGCGCCCCUCCUGCUGCUCCCUCAGAGCCCACUGUGUUUGUGGAGACAGGAGCCCCUCUGGCUUUGGUGAUGGGUCCUGCUGCUCUGGUUGCUGUGCAUUGACCCCCAUCCCCUCACCAUCCUCUGCCACCCUGUGAAUACUUCUUUCCCCAUCCCCUGCUUGCCCCGGUGUAUCCCCGUCCCAGCAAUCCCUCACCGGGAUCCUCUUCCUCCUCCCCAUUGUCCUGCCAGUUCAUGACAGCUACAACACAGUACAGUAUAGCGUUACAGCAUAAUAGCAGUG